rnacentral:lncRNA from 1 species
AGUGCGGGCCGUGAGGGGUGUGCGCGCUUGAGCCGGAGCGGGGCUCGCCCCUCGUCGGCUCCCGCCGCCCAGCCGGUGAUCGCUCUCCGGCCGUCCCCGGCACCCUCGGCCCCCCACGGCGGUUGGUCCGGGCGGGGGAAGGAGAAAGUGAGACUCGGUGUCAUCACCAAUCCAUCGCCAGAAGGGGAGGAAACUGGAAUCCAGCAGCGGCGAGCAGCAGCUGGACGGUAACAUCUGGAAAUGGAAAGCCGACCUCCCCCUCCUCCUCCACCUCCUCCUCCUCCUCCUCCUCCUCCUCCUCCUCCUCUCACCCAGGAUCACUUCCAAAACCACUUGGCCUUCAGCCCCUGCCUCGGCCAGAGGUUUCAUUUUUAACUGAAUAUUUACGAAAGCUGAAAGCGUGCGAGGGGGGUGGGGUGGAAAUAGCGGCUGCUUCUUUUCCAAGGAUUUAUUUAAUGGGGAUGUGUUCAAGGCAAGACCGAAUUCAGAAGGAUAUCGACGUCGUGAUCCAGAAGUCCAGAGCUGAGGACUGCCUGUUUGCAGGGCCCGCCUGGCAGGACGACUGAGCAAGUCCUUGGAAAACCAGAGAUAUUAGAGCGGUGAAUCGCGCUGGUCACGUUGGACACCUGCGCGUUAGGAGAUUCUGGAGCCAGAGGGAGAGACCCCAGAAACUCCCCGGUCGGCGACCCAGCCCGAGACGCCUGGGGUCCCAAGGGAAGCUGAACGCCCGAAUGGGGAAAUGGAGAGAGAACCUGAAAGAGCCCCAAACUCGAGGACCUAUUGCUCCCCAAGAAUAACAUCUUCCAGAACUAGACAGAAAACUAGGCGUCUGGGAACCCUGAAAUCCUUGGAGGAGUAGAUCAUCAUGACCCUCUGUGUUCCUUUUGGCAAAUGACUUGCUUCCAUUGUUUGUUUGUUCAAUUGUCUGUUUGUUAAAUAAAUAAAACCCUUUUCAUGUAUCUUUAAAAUUACAUUGGUUCUAUUAUUUUAUGAUUACAAACGAUGCUGCAGUCAU